rnacentral:sRNA from 12 species
GUCAUAACUGCCUACGUUGCGCGUUUGGCAUUCGCCGCUCAUGGUUGCUCGAGUCGCUGCUCUACUAACUACCGAACUCUAA